rnacentral:lncRNA from 1 species
CUCAUCAGAAACUUCCCUUCCAGGCCUGAAGCCUUCCAGUAGCCUCUUUGUGGACAUGUCAGAGCUUUGGUAGAGUCUGAGGCUCAAGUUCAAAUCCUGAGCAAGGUCUUAAAUAUUCCUGCUCAGCCGGAUUCACCCUUUGGGAUGUGAGUACUAGUGGAAGAGAAAAUUUGGACACACAGGGAGAAAACCACAGGGAGGAGAUGGCCAUCUACAAUUCCAGAAAAGCAGCCUCAGAAGAAACCAAUCUGCAAACAUCUUUAUCUGCAACUCCCUGCCUCCCAAAUGAUUACAGGUCAAGAGGAGACAUCUUUAAAAACGUGUCCAGCCAAUCGGUUCUUCAGAUGCGUUCAUGAAGUCACACCUGC